GCUGGGCAUGGUGGCGCAUGCCUGUAAUCCCAGCUACUCAGGAGGCUGAGGCAGGAGAAUUGCUUGAACCCAGGAGGUGGAGGUUGCGGUGAGCCGAGAUCACGCCAUUGCACUCCAGCCUGGGUAACAAGAGCGAAACUCCGCCUCAA
rnacentral:SRP_RNA from 1 species